UCCCUGAUGGUCUAGUGGUUAGGAUUCUGCGCUUUCAAUGCCGUGGCCCGGGUUCGAUUCUCGGUCAGGGAA
rnacentral:tRNA from 1 species